UUUGAUCCUGGCUCAGAACGAACGCUGGCGGCAGGCCUAACACAUGCAAGUCGAGCGCCCCGCAAGGGGAGCGGCGGACGGGUGAGUAACGCGUGGGAACGUACCCUUUGCUACGGAAUAGCCUCGGGAAACUGGGAGUAAUACCGUAUGUGCCCCCCGACCUCAGAAAUUGGGGGGGAAAGAUUUAUCGGCAAAGGAUCGGCCCGCGUUGGAUUAGGUAGUUGGUGGGGUAAUGGCCUACCAAGCCGACGAUCCAUAGCUGGUUUGAGAGGAUGAUCAGCCACACUGGGACUGAGACACGGCCCAGACUCCUACGGGAGGCAGCAGUGGGGAAUCUUAGACAAUGGGCGCAAGCCUGAUCUAGCCAUGCCGCGUGAGCGAUGAAGGCCUUAGGGUUGUAAAGCUCUUUCAGUGGGGAAGAUAAUGACUGUACCCACAGAAGAAGCCCCGGCUAACUCCGUGCCAGCAGCCGCGGUAAUACGGAGGGGGCUAGCGUUGUUCGGAAUUACUGGGCGUAAAGCGCACGUAGGCGGACUGGAAAGUCAGA
rnacentral:rRNA from 1 species